GACCAGUAACGGGACUCGGUGUGCCCGGGCCUGUUCGGGGCACGCAGCGCAAGACCCGGCUCCGCAGGGUGGGAAGAUGCCCGAGCCCAGGGAGACCCGACCGAGACGCCCCCUCUCCUGCCCAGCGCGCCCCCUUCCGUCCCCAGCAAGAGAGCAAAGGUCCCAAGCCUCAAUCCGGGCUCAAGCGACCAAACCCCUUUCUAGAGUCUGGACCACUCACCAUUCGGGACAGAGCUGCCCCCAAAAGUUAAAAUGAGACAAACGGGCGGGAAGCCCCCAGCCCCGGGGCGGGGCCGGCCUAGAGCCCUGCGCUCCAGCUUUGGGAGCUCACCCAGGCCCGGGGAGGGCCAGCCUGGCUGCUCACGGGACCCUCCCUUGUUGGCCCGGCCGUGGCCGGGAACCCACGCGUGGCCGGUGCGCGCUGCCAGUGCUGCAGCUGAGGUUCGGGUUCGGCCCGCGCCCGGCGUGAACAAAGCGGCUGCCAAGGCCUGGGACUGAGGGGACUGAGCCGCCGGCUCCACGCCGCCCCCAGGCCCAGAAGAAACACCGACUGCGGGCCGGGCACAGCACCCGGCCGGGGAAAGGACGCCCCGAGUUACGCGCAAACUUCCUUUGAAUGGCGCCCAGACUAAAGAGUGUCCAAUAAACGCGACUCCAGGGCAGCGUUUUAGGGGAAAGCAAUAAAAACUCACGGUAGAAUGGAAGCUGCCCUGAAGGAAUGGAACUGCGAGACUGGGGCUGGGACUGGGGCUGUGGGGAGGGAAAGCACAUACAGUGUAAAAACG
rnacentral:lncRNA from 10 species